CCCGCAGGUCCCGAGGCGCUUGCAGGGGACUCUGCCGCGGAAAGUUCCCAGUCCCCAGCCGCAGGUGUUUUCCCUCCUGCUGAUCGUGGAAAGAAAUCACCAAGAAGAGGGGAAAGUUGCCCUGGGGCCGGUAGUCAUGUAGGGGUUACCAAAGCAAGGGACUCUGGCAGAGAUGCGCGCGGACAAUUUAAAUGCGGGCAGAAAAUGAAGAUUUUUAUUUUUGGUUGAUUCCUGCUGUCUACUCCUCUUGGAUGCCUUUGUGAAACUGCUUCUAUCUGAGAAGGAGGAGUUGCCAUUCAGCAAGUAGUAGGUGGCACUGUGUGUGGCAGAGUCCGACGCGUUACACCAUGAGGACAUUCAUCUUUGAAGUCCUUCUGCCUAGUUCCCAUUCCUUGUGAACAGAAGAGGACUGGAAAUCUCUCCUCGCAGGACUGCAUACUGUUAUCUCUGAGAAACCAGAAAGAACAAAGUACGUCAUCUUUCCAAGCUUCUACCUAAUAGAAUACUGGAAGGUUUACCUAGAGCAACAAGACAACAAAAUGGAUUGUCCUUCUCGUGCUAGUCCACACACAGUUCUCAUCAUUUUGAUAAGAUAGCGUGAAGUCUCUUAUCACUUUGUGGAUCCAACACUCAGGUUCAGGUUAGUUAACUCUUACCUAUUG
ensembl:processed_transcript